rnacentral:rRNA from 1 species
AUGGGGAUGCGGGUGCCCGGGUGGGUUGGGGGCCUGGUGGAGGAGAGCUUCUUCGUGGGGUGCGAGGCGCACGAGAGCCGCAGGAAGAACGAGAAGAACAUCUUCUGCCUCGCCUGCUGCACCAGCAUCUGCCCGCACUGCGGCCCCGCCCACCGCCACCACCCGCUCCUACAGGUGCGGCGAUACGUGUACAAUGACGUCGUCCGCCUGGGUGACCUCGAGAAGCUCAUCGACUGCUCCUAUGUCCAGCCCUACACGAUCAACAGCGCGAAGGUUAUCUUCCUGAAGCCGAGGCCUCAGUCUAGGCCAUUCAAGGGCACUGGCAACGUCUGCCUUGCAUGUGACAGGAUCCUCCAGGAGCCUUUCCACUUCUGCUGCCUCUCCUGCAAGGUGGACCAUGUGGUGGAGCAGGGAGGGGACCUGUCCAACAUCCUGUUGUAUCGCGCCGGCGACGAGCUCCCUUUCCCGCGCUUCGAGAACCUCCACGUCGGCGACGCCGACUCGGGGCAGGUCACGCCCAACUCCAUCCUCGAGAACCCGCUGCACCACCGCAACAGGUACGGUGGCGGCAGCGGCGGGUCCAGCGACAAUGCCGGCAAUGGUGGUAACGGCAAUGGCGGCGGCGAGGCCGUGGUGGUGAAGCGGAAGAAAGGGGGAGGGUUCUUCCCCAAGAUGGUGCUGUCACUGGGCAACAGGAGGAAGGGCGCACCCCACCGAUCCCCCCUAGCCUGA